GUUUUUCUUGAGACGGGACCCUCUCUUUGAAACUCAUGAUCCUCCUGCUCUGGUUUUCCUAGUGUUGCAGGUGUGAGCCACCACUCUCAGCUCCUGCCGCCCUCAUUGUGACCUUGGGUCCUCAGCACAUGCUCGCACUUGUGACUACAGACUUCCCAGCUCUAGAACUACAUGCUAGCCCUGGCUGUCUUGGAAGUCGUUCUGUAGACCAAGUUGGUCUCAAACUCAUAGAUGUCUGCCUGCUUCUUUUUACAGAGUGCUGGAAUUAAAGGUAUGCCACUACCACCCAGCUAAAAAAAUACUUUAAAAAUGGGUAUACUAUGUUUGAUGUAGAUUAACAGAAGUUCAGAAAGAAAAAUACACAAAGUUUAAGAAGGGAGAAUUAUCAAA
rnacentral:lncRNA from 1 species